rnacentral:rRNA from 1 species
CGAUAUCAAUAAGCGGAGGAAAAGAAAAUAACAAUGAUUCCCCUAGUAACUGCGAGUGAAGAGGGACAAGCUCAAAUUUUAAAUCUGUCGGGUUCUACCUGACCGAGUUGUAAUUUGAAGAGGCGUUUUCUGUGUUUCUGAUCAGUCCAAGUCCUUUGGGAUAAGGCAUCACGGAGGGUGAGAAUCCCGUUCGGUUGAUCAGAUUCGCUUUACGAUACGCUUUCAAAGAGUCAAGUUGUUUGGGAUUGCAGCUUAAAAUGGGAGGUAAAUUUCUCCUAAGGCUAAAUAACGGCGAGAGACCGAUAGCGAACAAGUACCGUGAGGGAAAGAUGAAAAGAACUUUGAAAAGAGAGUUAAACAGUACGUGAAAUUGUUGAAAGGGAAACGAUUGAAGCCAGUCGUACCUGCGGGUAAUCAGCCUUUUGGGCAUGAUUCUGGGAGUGUGAGGAGUUAAACGCCUUCAUGCCUGCAUAUUCGUGUACUUUGGGUGUACUUGCCUGUGUGGUUAGUUAACAUCAAUUUUGAUUAUCAUAAAAUGGCUGGAGGAAUGUAGCUUCGAUUUCGAUUGAAGUGUUAUAGCCUUCGGCAGAUGUGAUGAUCGGGAUUGAGGAUUGCAACGGAUACCCUUCGGGGCUACCUGUCUGAUCUCUGAUCGUUGCUCUGGUGCCGAAAGCGUGCUUACGGUUAUCAAAGUCGAUGGUCAAUAGGUUAGAAUGGGUUAAAUUCGUUAAGGAUGUUGACGUA